CUGGACACAUUUAAUUGUUUGUACACCACGGAUUACAGAACAAAGAGGAGUGUGGAAACAGAAAACUGGCUUAAACUGAAGUUACACAACAGAGCUGGCAGAAUGGUUUUAAUAAAAUGUAAAUGGUUUCUUG